rnacentral:rRNA from 1 species
AACGAACGCUGGCGGCAGGCUUAACACAUGCAAGUCGAACGGGCGUAGCAAUACGUCAGUGGCAGACGGGUGAGUAACACGUGGGAACCUUCCUCGUAGUACGGGACAACUCAGGGAAACUUGAGCUAAUACCGUAUACGUCCGAGAGGAGAAAGAUUUACCGCUAUGAGACGGGCCCGCGUCCGAUUAGGUAGUUGGUGGGGUAACGGCCUACCAAGCCGACGAUCGGUAGCUGAUCUGAGAGGAUGAUCAGCCACACUGGGACUGAGACACGGCCCAGACUCCUACGGGAGGCAGCAGUGGGGAAUCUUGGACAAUGGGCGCAAGCCUGAUCCAGCCAUGCCGCGUGAGUGAAGAAGGUCUUCGGAUUGUAAAGCUCUUUUGCCAGGGACGAUAAUGACGGUACCUGGAGAAUAAGCCCCGGCAAACUUCGUGCCAGCAGCCGCGGUAACAC